rnacentral:rRNA from 1 species
GGCGGGACGGGUGAGUAACACGUUGAGAAUUUGCCUUUAGGAGGGGGAUAACAAUUGGAAACGACUGCUAAUACCCCAUAUGCUUUCGAGUGAAAUGAAUUAUUUCGCCUAGAGAGAAGCUCGCGGCUGAUUAGCUUGUUGGUAGGGUAAGUGCCUACCAAGGCGACGAUCAGUAUCUGGUUUGAGAGGACGAUCAGACACACUGGAACUGAGACACGGUCCAGACUCCUACGGGAGGCAGCAGU